GAUGAACGCUGGCGGCGUGCCUAAUACAUGCAAGUCGAGCGAAGCGGGGACGGGUGAGUAACACGUGGAUAACCUCCUAUAAGACUGGGAUAACUUCGGGAAACCGGAGCUAAACCGGAUACUUAUCGAUGGAUCCGCGCUGCAUUAGCUAGUUGGUAAGGUACCUGCUUACCAAGGCAACGAUGCAGAGCCGCACUUAGAGGUUGAUCGGCCACACUGGAACUGAGGCACGGGCCAGACGCCUACGGGAGGCAGCAGUAGGGAAUCUGCCGCAAGUGGCGAAAGCCUGACGGAGCAACGCCGCGUGAGUGAUGAAGGUCUUCGGAUCGUAAAACUCUGUUAUUAGGGAAGCGGUACCUAAUCAGAAAGCCACGGCUAACUACGUGCCAGCAGCCGCGGUAAUUC
rnacentral:rRNA from 1 species